GGGAGACCGGGACUAAGGGAGUGUCACUGUGUCCUAUUCUGCUGAGAAGUCAAGCCCAGUGGAGAGACUGAAGUGCCUGUUGGAUUUACACCGUGGUGGGCAUGGGGGGCUUUGUAAGAGCUGUUUGGAUGGAGCUGUGUGAAUAGAAGGUAAUACGUGUACUGAAGUCUGAAGACCUGAAGAUGUGAAGGAAUAAAUAUUCGACUGAGGAAGUUUAGAUGCUGAGGCUGGUAUUCCUGCUCAAGGGACCCUCCUGAGCAUUCUCUCAAGUCAGCCUAGAAUGAUCACUGUGACCGCAUGCUCGGUUGAUCCUACCUUCUAGCAGACCAGCAGCUGCCCCCCAGGAAGGAGAUCAGCCCUGGGAUUUCUUUGGAAAGAAUGAUGCUAAAGCUGAAACUCCAGUCCUUUGGCCACCUCAUGCGAAGAGUUGACU
ensembl:lncRNA